ensembl:lncRNA
ACACUAACAUGCAUUUUGUAUGACCCCUAUUAUUUUGGUAAAAUAAUUAACAUUUUACAGAUUCUGCAAGUUGUGUAUGUACACUUUGGACCUUAACUAUACAUAUGUACUGUAUGUGUGUGUGUGUGUGUGUGUGUGUGUGUGUAUUCUAAAUUUGUUUAUUCAUUCAUUCAGGUGAACUUUAAGAAUUACCAAGGUGUUGUUUCAUUUGUAAAUAUCGGCAACGUACACUGGAAGUUUCUGUACAUAAACGAGGUGAACCACACAGUGUUUCUGGUGGAUCCUGCAAAAAGUUCCACAGAGGAAUCUGAUUCCAGUCUUGCAGCCAGAAGAUUCAGUGACUACCUAAAAAUGAGAAGGACACGCCAUGGAAAAAAGGACUGGAGUUCUGACCCAUCCAAUCCAGAAGACAGCUGUAGCUGUGGGGUCAUUGUCAUCAUGGUGUGAGAAGUAAUGUAAUACCUAGCUCAUAGUUGUAUUAGGUAAUUUAAAUCCAUGUCUUUUAACUCUUGUUAACUGACUUGUACAGCACUAAAUGAGUAAAUAAUAUUCUGUUAAUGUAGUUGUCGCUAAUGCAUUGGUACAGCCACCCUAUGCAAGAAACUGGUACAGAUGUAGAUGUACUAUGAUGAUGAAUGUCUGUGUUUGUGUAGAUGGCAAGAGCAGUGAUGAAGGCCUUUCCAGCUGUUCCAGACAUAACGUUUAGAACAUCCAAAAAAGAAAUGGCAAAUGAGUGACAGCUGUGUAAAAUGGUUCCAUGAAGAGGUCCUAGGCAUGGCUGAAGAAGAGCUGAAACAGGCCAGAGCAGACAACUGGAACUGCAGCUUGUGCUGUUAAAUCCCUUUUUGAAGAAAAGUUUAAAACACAAAAAAAAUGCCUUUUCUGCUAAUUUAUUCAUUUAUUUAUUUAACAUAUCCACUUCUUAAUUUUGUAACUGUACUACAAAAAUUGUUGCUACUGAAUAUGUAUAACAAACAGCAAAUGGCUUGAUGUGGAAAUAAUCUGUAAAUAAUAAUUUAAUUAAACUUUUCUUUCAUGUAAAAAAAACUUCAAACUCUCCUGAAAUUGUGUAAAUGAAAAUCUGUGGUGAUGUACUGUCCAUCUAAAGUGAUACUGGCCUGUGGAAACAGGGAGUUUUUCUGUUAAUCUGAAGUGAAGGUGGUAUGUGAAAAGGGGAGUUUCCUUUUUAUUUUGUGAUUCUGCAUCAAACAGUCCUGACAUUGUGUGCGUGGUACUUAGAUCACGUGUACUAUCAAUAUGAAGUAAAAGUGGUUACUGGAAACAACGUUUUCUAAGCCAGUUUGAAUAGAUACAGUGCACAGCAUAAAUGAGUACACCCCCUCUGAAUAAAUCUAAAAGAUGUAUUCUCUUAAUGAUCACUAAUAUAUUUCAUGGAAAGAUGGCAAAAAUUAAACAUAUUAAACAUAUAUUUAAAUAUAUAUGCCAAUAUUUUCUAAUAGAUAAAUAAAUUAGACAAUUUUUUUUAAAUGAAGGAUUGCAGAAAUGAGUACACACAAGAUUUAAUUCAGAAAACAUAUACUUUUCUAGUACUUAGUAUGUCCUCCAGAACUUUAAGUAUAAUGCUCUGACCCUUCUUGGCACUGAGUGUACAAGUUCAUGACAAAUUUUCACAUCUGUCCUGUUUAACUCCUGGAGGACGACCUCCUUAAAUGCUCUGGUCUUUAAUGGGGAGUUUUGCUCAGCUCGUCUCUACAGAAUCCCCCACAGCUGCUCAAGAGCGUUAAGAUUGAGUGAAAUUCAUGUCCACUCAAGGAUUUUCACCUUAGGAUAAUGAAUAUAUUCAUUGUCAUGCUGAAAAAAUUCACAAUAAUGCUGGGGAUUAGAGGAGGGUAGCGUCUUUUGUUUCAAGCUUUUUGUAUUAGAUCACACAGUAGUGUGUGAAUUCAUGCCAGCAUUGAUAAAGCACAACUCCCUCACACCUUCAGCACUCAUUCAUCCCUAUAUAAAAGCUUUACUACCACUGAACGUCACUGUGGGAACCAGGCACUUCUCUCUGUAAUCCUCUUCUAGCAAGACCAGCACAUUUUGGAUGCUUUUGGAUCCGAAAUGAUUGACUUGUUCUCUUGAGACUAGAGCAUGGAUUACCAAAAGUCUAUAUUUUGUAAAUAUGGGCCCUGGAAGAAGUGAAAUGAGUUUAUUUUGCUUUGGCUACAUUCAGUAGUUUUGGUGUGGAUAAAUAACCAUGCAUGUCACUUCUUUGCAUAGCUUUUGCCGGCUCUGAGACACUUGCAUGUUAUUUCUCCUGCUCUUUCUCUAGCAAAAAUUCACUCAUCACUAAAUGAUAACUUAAAGUGAAAACCUGACUAUUUCAGAAGCCUUAUCACAAGUCCAUUGACUUCCAUAGUAGCAAAAAAUAUAAAAAUAAAUUACUAUGGAGGUCAAUGGCAACCACCAACUGUUUGAUUACCAGCAAUCUUUAAAAUAUCUUCCUUUAUGUUCAACAUAAGAAAGCAACUCAUACAGGUUGGAACAACAUGAGGGUGAGUAAAUGAUGACAGAAUUUUAAUAUUUGCUUGAACUAUACCUUUAACUUUAGUUAUUGCAUUAACAUUAACAAUGAGCAAUAACUACACUUGUUACAGAAGUUAUCAUUCUUUGCUAAAAUAAAAUACAAGUGUUAGUUCAUGUUAGCUCGGGUACAUUAAAUAAUAAAAAACUUGAUUUUAAUGUGUUAAAUGUUUAAAUGAACUACGAUUGGUGAAUGCUUAUAAGAAUUUUUCAUUGGCAGUUUAUGCUAACUAAUGAAUAAACUUAUGUUAAUUAAUGUUAAGUAAAGAUUAAAAUGUAAUAAAGUUACAAUACAAUAAAUAGCCUAUUAAGUCUAAGUAUUUAAGUCUAAGUGUUCAGCACAGUGCCAAACAGUUUGGCACUAUGCUGAAUAUCAUUGCCAGUAUAAAAUUCUGAACGGCUGUUUGAAACAUUUAACCCUAUGGUGUGCUUUGGUCAUUUUAGACAUAAAAACAAAUAAUAUUUGGAUAUUUUAAAAGACACCUUCAUUGGACUGGUACAAAAUUCUGACUUUUAUGGGAGCCGCAAUGUGGCUGAGGGAGACUCUGGGGUACUUGGCUAUAAAUCAGAAUUGAAAUUAGUCUGUGGAAACGGAGUUUCCUUUUUAGAGGUAUUCAAAUUCAUAAGCAGAACUGAUCAUAUAUGAGAUUUUGGAGGGCUUUUAUUAUGUAAUGCAACAUCAGAUCAUCCUGAAACUGGCUGAGGGACACCCUGGGGUACUGGACUACUAAUCUGAAUUGAAAUUAGUCUGUGGAAACAGGGAGUUUCCUUUUUAGAGCCAUUCAAAAUCACAGGCAGAACAGGUGUUAUAUGAGAUUUUGGAGGGCUUUAUUAUGUAAUGCAACAUCAGAUCGUCCUGAAACUGGCUGAGGGACACCCUGGGGUACUGGACUACUAAUCUGAAUUGAAAUUAGUCUGUGGAAACAGGGAGUUUCCUUUUUAGAGGUAUUCAAAAUCAGUGCUUGGGCAGCUUCUCGGAGAAGCUGUGGAACAGACUUCGCCAUGUUCCCUCCUGCCAAUUACAACAACAACGCAAAGUAAGCCCUGCCUUGAAGCAAUGAUUGACAGAGGGUGGGCGUGGUCAGUUCGGAAUGCAUUUUCAAAGCCGCACUGAAUUUUGCUACAAAUAUCCCUCAGCAUCAUGAUGAAAAUGCAUUUAGGACAAAUAACAUUUAAAUGAUCAUUUUGUUACUAUUUCUGCGUGGACGUGUUACACAUAUCAAA